GUGUCGUGAGGAUGUUGGGUUAAGUCCCGCAACGAGCGCAACCCUUGUCAUUAGUUGCUACGAAAGGGCACUCUAAUGAAACUGCCGGGUGACAAACCGGGAGGAAAGGUGGGGAUGACGUCAAGUCCUCAUGGCCCUUAUGGGUAGGGCUUCACACGUCAUACAAUGGUCGGUACAGAGGGCUGCCAACCCGUAAGGGGGAGCCAAUCCUUUAAAACCGAUCGUAGUCCGGAUUGAGGUCUGCAACUCGACCUCAUGAAGUCGGAAUCGCUAGUAAUCGCGGAUCAGCAUGUCGCGGUGAAUACGUUCCCGGGUCUU
rnacentral:rRNA from 1 species